rnacentral:rRNA from 1 species
UACGUAGGUGACAAGCGUUGUCCGGAAUUAUUGGGCGUAAAGAGCUCGUAGGCGGUUUGUCGCGUCUGCUGUGAAAACCCGGAGCUCAACUCCGGGCCUGCAGUCGAUACGGGCGGACUCGAGUUCGGCAGGGGAGACUGGAAUCCUGGUGUAGCGGUGAAAUGCGCAGAUAUCAGGAGGAACACCGGUGGCGAAGGCGGGUCUCUGGGCCGAAUGACUGACGCUGGAGGAGCGAAAGCGUGGGGAGCGAACAGG